UGUUAUAAAGAUUUUCUUUAAUCUAAUAUCUAAUAUUCAUCUAUUAACAAUAUUAACACAUGAAUGAAUGGAGUUGGGUCUUUGAGAAUAAUGGACUUGGAUAUAUUUAAAGUAUUCCAUAUAGUGUCUGGAUUUGGAAAAGUGAAUUAUAUCAUUUGUUAUAUAUUUAAGUAUAUAGUUCAUAAGCUUCUAUGGUAUAACUGGCAUAUGGUUGUCAUUAGCCUAGCUGGCUUCAUAUAGACAUCCUACCUUCCCCCAUCAUGGCAAAUGAAGAUAUAAGGUUACAUGUUGUAAGAUGUAAACGUAUUUUAGUUAGGAAUAUAAUUCUUUCUGUAGACUACAGUAUUUCUAUGUAUAUGUAUAUAUAUAUGUAUGUAUAUAUAUAUAUGUAUAUUUGAUUUAGAUGUUAAAGGACAUUUGUCUUACAUAGGUUAAAAUGUAGCUACUUAUUCACAGCUUACAGCCCUAUCCUCAGGAAUUUGAGAGUAAUUGACCCUCUCUUUCUCUUCUAAGGAAGAUUUGAAUUUGGCGCGUUUUUUGUAGAACAAGUCAAAAAUGAACCGUUACAUGACGUAUUUUUAGAAGGGUGGGGGUAGGUUAUAUUUGGGCUCUCUCUUCUCUUGAAUGCGACACACACUCAAGCUCACACACUUGGAAAUGAGCUGACAUGCUAGAACAAUCUCACUGACACUUAGAAGAAGGCUGACAUAGCCACACACACACAAAGAUAUAUAUUUGCAACUUUCAUUUCAAGAUUAAGAAACUUAUUGAUGCUAUUUUUAUAUUCUACAAUUGAUGAUAUUCAUGUGAUAUUUUACUAUUUUAUCAUUAAAUACAUUUUGGAGUUUUUACACAAGAACGGAACGGAUUUUCUUGGAACUUUUCUCAUCAAUAUGAAUAUCGAUUAAUAAUACAAUUAAUAGCGAUAUACAGACUUUAUUUCAAUGGCGAGCCUUAGCCAGAAUCGAUUUGCUUGAAUAUCGAACGUUUUUGAAUUAUUUCUCCUAUCGCUUGUCGAGAGGGAAAACAAGCAUUGAUCAUGCAGACAAGCUUCAAGGAGAAAUAAAAACGAAUGAACUUUCAGCAUCAUCGAAUGGAUCUGGAAACAUAGAAUUAUUUGGUGAAGAAGUUUACACACGUAAGAAAAUCCUGUUUCUUGAUGACGUAAUUUCCCGUAAAGAGAGGGAAAGCGCGAAAGAAGUCGUCCUAAAUUGGAUCUGACUUAUGAGUCACCAAAAGAAGAGAAAUGUCAUAUUUCUAAGAUCUUCCAGAUGCAAACAAGCCCUUUGAAACUUAAGAAUAUAGUUCUGGGAGAAGAUGACAUAUGAGAUUCAUUCGUCAUAAUUAUUGUUGUCUUUCUAUGUUCAAUAAAGUUUUCAACUUUACAGUACAGGAGUACAAGAGGAAGAAAAAGAAAGAAGAAUCAAUACCUUUUAAUGAGAGGGAAAUUUCUAAAAACAAUUGACUUUUUAUUUUUGACGACUGAUGAUAUAAUUUUAUCCAUCAGAUAUAUUGUAGUUUUUAUAUAUGAACUUUUUAUGUGACGAGAUAUGUUUUUCAUAUCAAGAAGAGAUAUUUGUUACACACCAAUUUUUAAAAACACAUGUAGUGUACUUUCAGAGUUGAAAGGGUUAAACUUUUUUACAAUGAAGUCUAGUUAGUAGGAACAUCUGGUGUUAAUUAAGAUAGAGUACAUGUUUCUUAAAGGUACAUAAACAAGUUAGGAUUAACUUUACCUUGUAAUAUGCAUUUAGUUUUGAAGUCAUCUCACAUAUAUGAACAAAUUGAAGUUAGGAACAUAUUUUAUAUUUACAUUUUGACAAGGUUAUUAGAAAUGUUGUAUGGAUUAUAGUUAAAUAUGCUGAGCACAAUUUGGAGGGAAAAUAUGAAAUAUAUAUCUCUGAAGUGACAUUCAUACUUCAAAGUAUUGUACAACUAUGCUACAGUCAUGGAUUUAGGAAUAUUAAGGGGGUUGAUUUUAUGACAAAAGGAAGAAGAAAUGAAUAAGGUAUAAAAAAAAUGUAUGGUACAUGAAGCAAAAGUUUUUCUGAAAUCACUUUUCCUUAUGUGGAAUUGGAAUUGAGAAUAUAUUCAAGUCAAUUAUCUUAGGAUUUAUAUGAAUGAAUACAUAUGUGAAGCAAAUGAUUAUGAAUGAGAUUAGAUGGAAAAUGAAAGAUUGUUAAUCAAUCAUUUUGAGAGGGAAUUGUUAUAAAGAUUUUCUUUAAUCUAAUAUCUAAUAUUCAUCUAUUAACAAUAUUAACACAUGAAUGAAUGGAGUUGGGUCUUUGAGAAUAAUGGACUUGGAUAUAUUUAAAGUAUUCCAUAUAGUGUCUGGAUUUGGAAAAGUGAAUUAUAUCAUUUGUUAUAUAUUUAAGUAUAUAGUUCAUAAGCUUCUAUGGUAUAACUGGCAUAUGGUUGUCAUUAGCCUAGCUGGCUUCAUAUAGACAUCCUACCUUCCCCCAUCAUGGCAAAUGAAGAUAUAAGGUUACAUGUUGUAAGAUGUAAACGUAUUUUAGUUAGGAAUAUAAUUCUUUCUGUAGACUACAGUAUUUCUAUGUAUAUGUAUAUAUAUAUGUAUGUAUAUAUAUAUAUGUAUAUUUGAUUUAGAUGUUAAAGGACAUUUGUCUUACAUAGGUUAAAAUGUAGCUACUUAUUCACAGCUUACAGCCCUAUCCUCAGGAAUUUGAGAGUAAUUGACCCUCUCUUUCUCUUCUAAGGAAGAUUUGAAUUUGGCGCGUUUUUUGUAGAACAAGUCAAAAAUGAACCGUUACAUGACGUAUUUUUAGAAGGGUGGGGGUAGGUUAUAUUUGGGCUCUCUCUUCUCUUGAAUGCGACACACACUCAAGCUCACACACUUGGAAAUGAGCUGACAUGCUAGAACAAUCUCACUGACACUUAGAAGAAGGCUGACAUAGCCACACACACACAAAGAUAUAUAUUUGCAACUUUCAUUUCAAGAUUAAGAAACUUAUUGAUGCUAUUUUUAUAUUCUACAAUUGAUGAUAUUCAUGUGAUAUUUUACUAUUUUAUCAUUAAAUACAUUUUGGAGUUUUUACACAAGAA